UACGGAGGGGACUAGCGUUGUUCGGAAUUACUGGGCGUAAAGCGCGCGUAGGCGGAUUUGCAAGUCGGGGGUGAAAGCCCGAGGCUCGACCUCGGAACUGCCCUCGAUACUGCAAAUCUCGAGUCCGAGAGAGGUGAGUGGAAUUCCUAGUGUAGAGGUGAAAUUCGUAGAUAUUAGGAAGAACACCAGUGGCGAAGGCGGCUCACUGGUCCGGUACUGACGCUGAGGUGCGAAAGCGUGGGGAGCAAACAGG
rnacentral:rRNA from 1 species